rnacentral:rRNA from 1 species
GAUGAACGCUGACAGAAUGCUUAACACAUGCAAGUCUUUGGCAAAUCUGUGCUUGCACAGCCUAGCCAAGGCGGACGGGUGAGUAACGCGUAAAGAACUUGCCCUGCAGACAGGGAUAACAGACGGAAACGACUGACAACACCUGAUACAGUUGCCGGCACGCAUGUGCCCGGCAAUGAAAAGAGAUGCCAUUUGAGAGCUUUGCGUCCUAUUAGCUAGUUGGUAAGGUAACGGCUUACCAAGGCGAUGAUAGGUAGCCGGCCUGAGAGGGUGGACGGCCACAAGGGGACUGAGAUACGGCCCUUACUCCUACGGGAGGCAGCAGUGGGGAAUAUUGGACAAUGGGGGCAACCCUGAUCCAGCAAUUCUGUGUGCACGAAGAAGGUUUUCGGAUCGUAAAGUGCUUUCAGCAGGGAGGAAGAAAGUGACUGUACCUGCAGAAGAAGCGACGGCUAAAUACGUGCCAGCAGCCGCGGUAAUACGUAUGUCGCGAGCGUUAUCCGGAAUUAUUGGGCAUAAAGGGCAUCUAGGCGGCCAGAUAAGUCCGAGGUGAAAACUGCCGGCUCAACCAGCAGCUUGCCUUGGAAACUACCUGGCUAGAGUAUUGGAGAGGUGGACGGAACUACACGAGUAGAGGUGAAAUUCGUAGAUAUGUGUAGGAAUGCCGAUGAUGAAGAUAGUUCACUGGACGAUAACUGACGCUGAAGUGCGAAAGCUAGGGGAGCGAACAGG